GACGAACGCUGGCGGCGUGCUUAACACAUGCAAGUCGAACGGUAAGGCCCUUCGGGGUACACGAGUGGCGAACGGGUGAGUAACACGUGGGUGAUCUGCCCUGCACUUCGGGAUAAGCCUGGGCAACUGGGUCUAAUACCGGAUAGGACUGCGGACUGCAUGGUCUGGGGUGGAAAGCUGUUGCGGUGUGGGAUGGGCCCGCGGACUAUCAGCUUGGUGGUGGGGUGAUGGCCUACCAAGGCGACGACAGGUAGCCGGCCUGAGAGGGUGACCGGCCACACUGGGACUGAGAUACGGCCCAGACUCCUACGGGAGGCAGCAGUGGGGAAUAUUGCACAAUGGGCGCAAGCCUGAUGCAGCGACGCCGCGUGAGGGAUGACGGCCUUCGGGUUGUAAACCUCUUUCAGCAUCGACGAAGCGAAAGUGACGGUAGGUGCAGAAGAAGGACCGGCCAACUACGUGCCAGCCGCCGCAGUAA
rnacentral:rRNA from 1 species